UCUGCCCUUAAGUGUGGAAUAACGUACCGAAAGGUGCGCUAAUACCGCAUAAUGCCUGGCAACACAAGUUGUCCGGCCAAAGAAGGCCUCUGUUUACAAGCUUUCGCUUCAGGAUGAGUCCGCGUACCAUUAGCUUGUUGGUGGGGUAAUGGCCUACCAAGGCUGCGAUGGUUAGCUGGUCUGAGAGGAUGAUCAGCCACACUGGAACUGAGACACGGUCCAGACUCCUACGGGAGGCAGCAGUGAGGAAUAUUGCGCAAUGGGGGCAACCCUGACGCAGCAACGCCGCGUGAGUGAGGAAGGUUUUCGGACCGUAAAGCUCUGUCGAGUGGGAAGAAGUGUAUCAUGGCUAAUAUCCGUGAUAUUUGACGGUACCGCUAGAGGAAGCACCGGCUAACUCCGUGCCAGCAGCCGCGGUAAUACGGGGGGUGCAAGCGUUGUUCGGAAUUAUUGGGCGUAAAGAGCGUGUAGGCGGCCGAGCAAGUCAGAUGUGAAAUCCCCGGGCUUAACCCGGGAAGUGCAUUUGAAACUGCUAGGCUUGAGUAGGGGAGAGGAAAGUGGAAUUCCUGGUGUAGAGGUGAAAUUCGUAAAUAUCAGGAGGAACACCGGUGGCGAAGGCGACUUUCUGGCCCUAUACUGACGCUGAGACGCGAAAGCGUGGGUAGCAAACAGGAUUAAUACCCUGGUAGUCCACGCCCGUAACGAUGUUCACUA
rnacentral:rRNA from 1 species